rnacentral:piRNA from 1 species
UNCCUUAGCCAGGUUGCCCUUGACGAUGGU